UACGUAGGGUGCGAGCGUUGUCCGGAAUUAUUGGGCGUAAGGAGCUCGUAGGCGGUUUGUCGCGUCUGCUGUGAAAACUCGGGGCUUAACUCCGGGCCUGCAGUGGGUACGGGCAGACUAGAGUGCGGUAGGGGAGACUGGAAUUCCUGGUGUAGCGGUGAAAUGCGCAGAUAUCAGGAGGAACACCAAUGGCGAAGGCAGCACUCUGGGACGGUACUGACGCUGAGACGCGAAAGCGUGGGGAGCAAACAGG
rnacentral:rRNA from 1 species